AUUUUUCAUGUUUGUGUCACAGUGUUUCCUCUAUGUUGAUUUGACCGUGACGGCCCCCGACGGCAACAUUUCUGCCCCCCACGGUAUCAGAAAUAGGGCUGCAUUGUUAGAGUGCAUGUCGGA